UCCAAUUCAAGCCUUACUCAUAAAGCAUAAUCAAAACUGAAGCACUUGAUCACAUAAAGCAUGGGUAUUGCAUAAACAAAUCAACUACUAAACUCCACAACUAAGAUUUAGAAUUCAAGGCAAUGCUCAUGAUCCAAUAUUGCGAAGGCAAAAUAAAAUACAAGCAAGCCGAGGUAGACACUAAAAACACUCACAUGAUCCUCGAAUUUUAUUCAUGCUUCUUCUCACAAAGAUGCUAAAGUAGCAAUCUAGGCAUAAGUCUUCCCAGAAGCUUAAGAAGACUACUACUUUAUCUACUUUUGAUUGAAAUAAAAACACUAAUUUAGACUCUCACAUGACUCAACUCAACCAAACUAGAUCCAAAACCUCCUUACGAGCAGCGAUCUCCCCCCUUCC
rnacentral:lncRNA from 1 species